GCAAGUCAAGGGGAAAGCCCUGCUUCGGCGGGGUUAGUAUACUGGCGGACGGGUGAGUAACGCGUAGGCAACCUGCCCUGGUGAGAGGGAUAACCCAGCGAAAGUUGGACUAAUACCUCAUAAUGCAUUUUAUUCGCAUGGAUAGAUUGUUAAAGUUUGCAACUUGUUGCAGAUGUAUCAGGAUGGGCCUGCGUUCCAUUAGUUAGUUGGUGAGGUAAUGGCUCACCAAGGCGACGAUGGAUAGCUGGUCUGAGAGGAUGAUC
rnacentral:rRNA from 1 species